GUGCUCACUUCUACAGCACAUAUUCUAAAAUCGGAAUGCUACAGAGAAGAUUAGCAUGGCCCCUGCACAAAGAUGAUAGGCAAAUACAUAGUGUUCCAUAUUUUA